rnacentral:rRNA from 1 species
GACGAACGCUGGCGGCGUGCUUAACACAUGCAAGUCGAACGGACAGGUCCUGCGCUUGUGGGGUUCUCGAGUGCCGAACGGGUGAGUAACACGUGAGUGACCUGCCCCUGUCUUUGGGAUAACUCCAGGAAACUGGGGCUAAUACCGGGUAGGAGCUCCUGCUCCAUGUUGUGGUAUGGAAAGUUUUGGCGGUUCGGGAUGGACUCGCGGCUUAUCAGCUUGUUUGUGGGGUAGUGGCUUACCAAGGGUUUGACGGGUAGCCGGCAUGAGAGGUUGACCGGCGACAUUGGGACUGAGGUACGGCCCAGACGGCUACGGGAGGCAGCAGUGGGGAAUAUGGCACAAUGAGCGGGAGCCUGAUGCAGCAACGCCGCGUGCGGGAUAACGGCUUUCGGGUUGUAAACCGCUUUCGCCUGAGACGAAGCGUGAGUGACGGUAAUGAGUAAAGAAGCACCGGCUAACUACGUG